UACGUAGGGGGCAAGCGUUGUCCGGAUUUAUUGGGCGUAAAGAGCGUGUAGGCGGCCAGAUAGGUCCGUUGUGAAAACUCGAGGCUCAACCUCGAGACGCCGAUGGAAACCAUUUGGCUAGAGUCCGGAAGAGGAGAGUGGAAUUCCUGGUGUAGCGGUGAAAUGCGCAGAUAUCAGGAGGAACACCGGUGGCGAAGGCGGGUCUCUGGGCCGAUACUGACGCUGGAGGAGCGAAAGCGUGGGGAGCGAACAGG
rnacentral:rRNA from 1 species